UAGUUUUUGACAUGUGUAGUAUGCCUCAACUGUAAUUUAUAAAACGAUUAUGGAGAAAAAGCAGUCUACCAUAAACUACACCAGCAAGCCAAUGGGAGUGUGUGCGAUAGCAUAUGAAGCGUACGGGAUAUGGAGCAACAUGGUGUAAUUGCGCUGCCUGUGUUUGGGUAUAGAUAUCAAACCCUUGUAAUAGAACCACAUGUUCCAUACACCGGCGAUGAGCCAUUUAUCUCAAUCCUCAAUUCCUCAUCACGGUGCAAUACGAUUUCUCCACAGUGAAAGGCAACUUCCCUUCUCUUUUCUUUUUGGUUCUCUGGAGAGAGAAUGCGAGUUUGAGAUAUAAGACAAGCCAAGGGCUUAGAAGUUAGACGAAUGGUGGAGGACGGAAACUGCCUAUUCUGUGCUAUUGCAGAUCAAGUGUAUGGACACUGAAGCAUAUGAUUUGACUAGGAAAAUGUGUAUCGAGUGUAUGGUAUGCACAUUUCCAUAUCCGUGAAAUCUUUCUCUAAGAAGAGUUGGAUCCUUUAUGUUUGCUUUUUUGCUAUUUAGAUUUGUUUUUGGAUAUUUGGUUAUGGUUUAGCCAAUUUAAUAUCCUUAUUAUGACUGUGCCCUGGAAGAGCAGGUGCUCUAUCAUCAUUUAAGCUUCACGAAGUUACUAUGGCAUAAAUCAUAGUAGAUUAUGUAAAUUUGAGGAGGAUAUGUAAGCACAUUUGGCUUGAGCAAUAUACCAUUCAUACGUGGGAGGAA